GGAGAGUACAGCUCAGUGGUAGAGUGCAUGCUUAGGAUGUACGAGGUCCUGGGUUCAAUCCCCAGGACCUCCA
rnacentral:tRNA from 1 species